rnacentral:lncRNA from 1 species
AUGAUACGGAGCGAAGGAGCGUUUACAGUCGCGGGAGAAGCCCUUCCAUCUGUCCUCAACGCUGUAGAUACCAGAAGCGCCGGGCAACGUCGCCACGUGCACGGGGCAAGCGCUUCCUCAGCCGUACCUACCCCGAGCCCACAGCUUCCUCGGAGGAGCUCACGACGGCCGCCCCGCGCCGUCAAAGACUCACCGCAGCCCCGCGGCUCCAACGCCCGCAGCGCAGCGCCCCGGCCCGCAGAGCGCGGCCCCGCCCGGCAAGCUCUCCGCACUGGCGCGGGGCGGAAGCUUUGCACCCAGCGCGGCGCCGCGCCCCUCCGCCCGCGGCCCCGGCGGCCGCUCCGUGCCCACGUGACCGGCGCCGGGCGCUGCGCUCGGGCCGCUCGCCAAAGGAAGGGUCCGUGCCGGUGCCGGCCGUUCCCAAGUCGGGUGGCGGCGGGGGCGAGGGCGGAAGGCCGCGGUUACCGCCCUUCCGCACCCGUCGCUUUCCCUCGGGGGGAAGAAGGGGUGGGCGAGAGGAGCGGGGGCCUUCUGUCUGCCCCUAAGCAGCGCCCGCCCGCCCGCCCGGGAUGUCUUCGGUGCAGUGCGAGGGCACGACAAUGUGGGCACGGAGCUCCGCAGCGGGGAGAGCCGGAAGCUGCCCACUUUCAAAGACAGAAUAUUAGGCAAGAUGGACCACACUUCUGCUUUGGAGCAGCAGACUCAGUGCUCACAGAGAAGCUAAUAUAUGCAGUCUGGCACAUAGUCUUUGCAGAGGAAGAUACAUUCCACUCUGGACAGUUUCACACUGAGUUUGUGACAAUGGAUUCCCAGUUUUGCGGGUAA